rnacentral:rRNA from 1 species
AUUGAACGCUGGCGGCAGGCCUAACACAUGCAAGUCGAGCGGAUGAAGGGAGCUUGCUCCUGGAUUCAGCGGCGGACGGGUGAGUAAUGCCUAGGAAUCUGCCUGGUAGUGGGGGAUAACGUCCGGAAACGGGCGCUAAUACCGCAUACGUCCUGAGGGAGAAAGUGGGGGAUCUUCGGACCUCACGCUAUCAGAUGAGCCUAGGUCGGAUUAGCUAGUUGGUGGGGUAAAGGGCUACCAAGCCGACGAUCCGUAACUGGUCUGAGAGGAUGAUCAGUCACACUGGAACUGAGACACGGUCCAGACUCCUACGGGAGGCAGCAGUGGGGAAUAUUGGACAAUGGGCGAAAGCCUGAUCCAGCCAUGCCGCGUGUGUGAAGAAGGUCUUCGGAUUGUAAAGCACUUUAAGUUGGGAGGAAGGGCAGUAAGUUAAUACCUUGCUGUUUUGACGUUACCAACAGAAUAAGCACCGGCUAACUUCGUG